CCUACGGGAGGCUGCAGUGAGGAAUAUUGGUCAAUGGGCGGAAGCCUGAACCAGCCAAGUAGCGUGCAGGAUGACGGCCCUACGGGUGGUAAACUGCUUUUAUACGGGAAUAACGCGCCUUACGUGUAGAGCUUUGCAUGUACCGUAUGAAUAAGGACCGGCUAAUUCCGUGCCAGCCGCCGCAGUAAUACGGAAGGUCCGGGCGUUAUCCGGAUGUAUUGGGUUGAAUGGGAGCGUAGGCCGCAUGUCAAGCCGGCUGUGAAAUGGCCGGGCUCAACCUGGGCCUUGCAGCGCGAACUGGCGUGCUUGAGUCCGCGGAAAGCAGGCGGAAUUCGUCGUGUAGCGGUGAAAUGCUUAGAUAUGACGAAGAACCCCGAUUGCGAAGGCAGCUUGCUGCAGCGGAACUGACGCUGAUGCUCGAAAGCGCGGGUAUCGAACAGGAUUAGAUACCCCGGUAGUC
rnacentral:rRNA from 1 species